UUUUUUCUUUCAGAGGAGAAACUGGACUCCUCAGGCAGUCUUGUAUCUUAAAGGCGCACAGGGACACCGCUCAACCCUGCUGGAGCGCAGCAGCAGAGAAGAAGGGGAUGCUUUACAAUUAGUGAACUUUAAUCAGAUCAGCGAUGGGCCGGGAUUGUCUUCAGCUUCCGUCGAGCUCCUGCAACAAGCUGCAGAAGAAGGCGAGCCUGCGCUUCACUUACAUGUUUUAUAACCUGCUUAGAAGCUAAAAUCUCUUCGUCCUUCUUCAGGUGGAGGCAGACAUCUUCACCGAGAGUGGAGCUUCAAACAUCUCUGAUUACUUUUUGCCUGGUCCAGUUGUCGUACUUGCUGUUGGAUAUUUGAACUCCAAAAUGUCAUUGUUGGUAUGAAUGGAUAAUCUGCAGCAAAGAACUCUUAAAUAAACUUCAUUGUUCUGAAAAUGUAAAUUGAUUAUGACUGACUUCAUUCUAAUGUGCUGUGAUGUUUGCUGGCAGAAAAUGUACUUUGGUUCCUCUUUCAUUGUGCUUUUUAAGCAAAGUUUAGAAAUUGUUUUCAGUAUGUUCCUGGUAUUGGUAAGUUGGGAAAGGAACAUUUGAAACAAAUGUAGCUUUUCAAACUUUAUUCUUUACAUGUUAUGUCCUUCCUUUCGUUUUUGUUUCCUCCCUUCUUUCCUAUCCUGUCAAUUAAACCUGUCAACUAUUAAGACGCUGAGUGAACAUCAGCAGCUUGCAGUCAAACAUCACCACCCUGUCAUCACUGAAGGUGCCAUGUGGGGGUCAGACAUGAUGC